GACGAACGCUGGCGGCGUGCCUAAUACAUGCAAGUUGAGCGCUGAAGGUUGGUACUUGUACCAACUGGAUGAGCAGCGAACGGGUGAGUAACGCGUGGGGAAUCUGCCUUUGAGCGGGGGACAACAUUUGGAAACGAAUGCUAAUACCGCAUAAAAACUUUAAACACAAGUUUUAAGUUUGAAAGAUGCAAUUGCAUCACUCAAAGAUGAUCCCGCGUUGUAUUAGCUAGUUGGUGAGGUAAAGGCUCACCAAGGCGAUGAUACAUAGCCGACCUGAGAGGGUGAUCGGCCACAUUGGGACUGAGACACGGCCCAAACUCCUACGGGAGGCAGCAGUAGGGAAUAUUCGGCAAUGGACGAAAGUCUGACCGAGCAACGCCGCGUGAGUGAAGAAGGUUUUCGGAUCGUAAAACUCUGUUGGUAGAGAAGAACGUUGGUGAGAGUGGAAAGCUCAUCAAGUGACGGUAACUACCCAGAAAGGGACGGCUAACUACGUG
rnacentral:rRNA from 1 species